rnacentral:tRNA from 1 species
AUUUAUAUAGUUUAAAUAAAACAUUACAUUUUCAUUGUAAAAAUAAAAACUUUUUUUUAUAAAUU